CGCUACUUUGGCAACCCAGCUUCUCUGCAGGACUUGUCCGCAUACUCUUCUCCUUUCUUCUAUCUCUUUGAAGCUCUGUGGAGGAUUUUACUAGUCAUCAAUGGCAUCUGUGGAGGACAUUAGAAACGCUCAACGUGCCAAGGGGCCGGCUGUCAUUCUAGCCAUUGGCACUGCAACUCCAGACAACUGUGUCUACCAGUCCGAUUACGCUGAUUACUAUUUCCGGGUCACUAAAAGCGAGCACAUGACCGACUUGAAGAAGAAGUUCAACCGCAUAUGUGAGAAAUCAAUGAUCAAAAAGCGAUACAUUCAUUUGACUGAAGAAAUGCUUGAAGAGCACCCAAAUAUGGGUGCUUACAUGGCUCCAUCGCUCAACAUACGCCAAGAAAUUAUCACUGCUGAGGUACCUAAGCUUGGUAAGGAGGCUGCAUUGAAGGCUCUUAAAGAGUGGGGGCAGCCUAAGUCCAAGAUCACUCACCUUGUAUUUUGUACAACUUCAGGAGUAGAAAUGCCCGGUGCAGACUAUAAACUAGCCAAUCUUCUAGGCCUCGAAACAUCAGUUAGAAGAGUAAUGUUUAUCAUCAAGGCUGCUAUGCAGGUGGGACUGUUCUCCGAACUGCGAAGGAUCUCGCAGAGAAUAAUGCAGGAGCACGAGUUCUUGUGGUAUGCUCUGAGAUCACAGUUGUUACUUUUCGUGGACCUUCUGAAACCCAUUUAGACUCUUUAGUAGGUCAAGCCCUUUUUGGUGAUGGGUCGGCAGCUGUAAUUGUUGGAUCAGAUCCAGAUACCUCCAUUGAACGACCACUCUUCCAACUUGUUUCAGCAGCCCAAACAUUCAUUCCUAAUACACAAGGUGCUAUUGCUGGCAACUUACGUGAGGUGGGUCUAACCUUUCAUUUGUGGCCUAAUGUGCCUACUCUGAUUUCCGAGAAUAUAGAGAAGUGCUUGACUCAAGCUUUUGCCCCACUUGGUAUUAGUGAUUGGAACUCCUUGUUUUGGAUCGCUCAUCCAGGUGGCCCGGCCAUUUUGGAUGCAGUCGAAGCAAAACUCAAUUUGGAGAAAAAGAAACUCGAAGCAACAAGACACAUCUUAAGUGAGUAUGGUAAUAUGUCAAGUGCAUGCGUGUUGUUUAUUUUGGAUGAGAUGAGAAAGAAAUCACUCAAGGAAGAAAGGACCACCACAGGUGAAGGAUUAGAUUGGGGCGUUUUAUUUGGUUUUGGGCCAGGUCUGACCAUUGAAACUGUUGUGCUGCAUAGCGUUGCUGGGGCUACAAAUUGAGUGAAAGGAAAAAAAUCAGAAGGGGACAAUUUCCAAUUAAAUCAAAUAGGAGUUAAUAAAGACAUAUAUGUCUUCUAUUUGUAACAUCUUUUAUUCUUUAUUAAAAUUGAUGUUUGUGGUUCAAAUUAGAGCUUGUUGGAGGGCUUCAUUAGUAACCUCAAGUUAAAAGGGAUGAGACAUCAAGUUCUUACAGUUUCGAUAUCUAGAUGAAAUUCCCUCAAAAGUUGUAUAAACAUCCACCGUGUUCUUUUAAAGAUUGUUGAGAGUAAUACAAAGAAAAGAAUAAAAUAACAAAUUGCCUUUUCCCUUUG